AUGAACGCUAGCUACAGGCUUAACACAUGCAAGUCGAGGGGCAGCAUGGUCUUAGCUUGCUAAGGCCGAUGGCGACCGGCGCACGGGUGAGUAACACGUAUCCAACCUGCCGUCUACUCUUGGACAGCCUUCUGAAAGGAAGAUUAAUACAAGAUGGCAUCAUGAGUCCGCAUGUUCACAUGAUUAAAGGUAUUCCGGUAGACGAUGGGGAUGCGUUCCAUUAGAUAGUAGGCGGGGUAAUGGCCCACCUAGUCUUCGAUGGAUAGGGGUUCUGAGAGGAAGGUCCCCCACAUUGGAACUGAGACACGGUCCAAACUCCUACGGGAGGCAGCAGUGAGGAAUAUUGGUCAAUGGGCGAGAGCCUGAACCAGCCAAGUAGCGUGAAGGAUGACUGCCCUAUGGGUUGUAAACUUCUUUUAUAAAGGAAUAAAGUCGGGUAUGCAUACCCGUUUGCAUGUACUUUAUGAAUAAGGAUCGGCUAACUCCGUGCCAGCAGCCGCGGUAAUACGGAGGAUCCGAGCGUUAUCCGGAUUUAUUGGGUUUAAAGGGAGCGUAGAUGGAUGUUUAAGUCAGUUGUGAAAGUUUGCGGCUCAACCGUAAAAUUGCAGUUGAUACUGGAUAUCUUGAGUGCAGUUGAGGCAGGCGGAAUUCGUGGUGUAGCGGUGAAAUGCUUAGAUAUCACGAAGAACUCCGAUUGCGAAGGCAGCCUGCUAAGCUGCAACUGACAUUGAGGCUCGAAAGUGUGGGUAUCAAACAGGAUUAGAUACCCUGGUAGUCCACACGGUAAACGAUGAAUACUCGCUGUUUGCGAUAUACUGCAAGCGGCCAAGCGAAAGCGUUAAGUAUUCCACCUGGGGAGUACGCCGGCAACGGUGAAACUCAAAGGAAUUGACGGGGGCCCGCACAAGCGGAGGAACAUGUGGUUUAAUUCGAUGAUACGCGAGGAACCUUACCCGGGCUUAAAUUGCAGAUGAAUUACGGUGAAAGCCGUAAGCCGCAAGGCAUCUGUGAAGGUGCUGCAUGGUUGUCGUCAGCUCGUGCCGUGAGGUGUCGGCUUAAGUGCCAUAACGAGCGCAACCCUUGUUGUCAGUUACUAACAGGUUCCGCUGAGGACUCUGACAAGACUGCCAUCGUAAGAUGUGAGGAAGGUGGGGAUGACGUCAAAUCAGCACGGCCCUUACGUCCGGGGCUACACACGUGUUACAAUGGGGGGUACAGAGGGCCGCUACCACGCGAGUGGAUGCCAAUCCCAAAAACCUCUCUCAGUUCGGACUGGAGUCUGCAACCCGACUCCACGAAGCUGGAUUCGCUAGUAAUCGCGCAUCAGCCACGGCGCGGUGAAUACGUUCCCGGGCCUUGUACACACCGCCCGUCACACCAUGAGAGCCGGGGGGACCCGAAGUCGGUAGUCUAACCGCAAGGAGGACGCCGCCGAAGGUAAAACUGGUGAUUGGGGUG
rnacentral:rRNA from 1 species